UACGUAGGGAGCAAGCGUUGUCCGGAAUCAUUGGGCGUAAAGCGCGCGUAGGCGGCCCUGUAAGUCCGUUGUGAAAGUCAAAGGCUCAACCUUUGAAAGCCGAUGGAUACUGCAGGGCUAGAGUCCGGAAGAGGCGAGUGGAAUUCCUGGUGUAGCGGUGGAAUGCGCAGAUAUCAGGAGGAACAUCAAUAGCGAAGGCAGCUCGCUGGGACGGUACUGACGCUAAGGCGCGAAAGCGUGGGGAGCGAACAGG
rnacentral:rRNA from 1 species